rnacentral:rRNA from 1 species
UACGAAGGGGGCUAGCGUUGCUCGGAAUCACUGGGCGUAAAGCGCACGUAGGCGGCUUUCUAAGUCAGGGGUGAAAUCCCGGAGCUCAACUCCAGAACUGCCUUUGAUACUGGAGAGCUUGAGUCCGGGAGAGGUGAGUGGAACUCCGAGUGUAGAGGUGAAAUUCGUAGAUAUUCGGAAGAACACCAGUGGCGAAGGCGGCUCACUGGCCCGGUACUGACGCUGAUGUGCGAAAGCGUGGGGAGCAAACAGG